rnacentral:rRNA from 1 species
CAGUCGACGCUUUGUGGUCCAACUGAUUUGAAGAGCUUGCUCAGAUAUGACGAUGGACAUUGCAAAGAGUGGCGAACGGGUGAGUAACACGUGGGAAACCUACCUCUUAGCAGGGGAUAACACUUGGAAACAAGUGCUAAUACCGUAUAACACUAAUAACCGCAUGGUUAUUAGUUAAAAGAUGGUCUUGCUAUCACUAAGAGAUGGUCCCGCGGUGUAUUAGCUAGUUGGUAAGGUAAUGGCUUACCAAGGCAAUGAUACAUAGCCGAGUUGAGAGACUGAUCGGCCACAAUGGGACUGAGACACGGCCCAUACUCCUACGGGAGGCAGCAGUAGGGAAUCUUCCACAAUGGACGAAAGUCUGAUGGAGCAACGCCGCGUGUGUGAUGAAGGGUUUCGGCUCGUAAAACACUGUUGUAAGAGAAGAAUGACAUUGAGAGUAACUGUUCAGUGUGUGACGGUAUCUUACCAGAAAGGAACGGCUAAAUACGUGCCAGCAGCCGCGGUAAUACGUAUGUUCCAAGCGUUAUCCGGAUUUAUUGGGCGUAAAGCGAGCGCAGACGGUUAUUUAAGUCCGAAGUGAAAGCCCACAGCUUAACUGUGGAAGUGCUUUGGAAACUGGAUAACUUGAGUGCAGUAGAGGAGAGUGGAACUCCAUGUGUAGCGGUGAAAUGCGUAGAUAUAUGGAAGAACACCAGUGGCGAAAGCGGCUCUCUGGACUGUAACUGACGUUGAGGCUCGAAAGUGUGGGUAGCAAACAGGAUUAGAUACCCUGGUAGUCCACACCGUAAACGAUGAGU